rnacentral:misc_RNA from 1 species
GUAGGUGAGCCUGCGGAAGGAUCAUUACAGUGUUCCCUGCCCUCGCGGGUAGAAACGCCCACCCUUGUGUAUUAUAUCUUGUUGCUUUGGCGGACCGCCCUCGGGCACUGGCUUCGGCCGGCUCGCGUCCGCCAGAGGACCUCCAACCCUGUACGUUAGUGUCGUCUGAGUACUAUAUAAUAGUUAAAACUUUCAACAACGGAUCUCUUGGUUCUG